rnacentral:lncRNA from 1 species
UCCGUUAAAUGUAAUUUUUAUAAGAAAUUUCAGACAGAGUUAUAUUAUAUGCGACUGAAAGAGUGGCAGCUCAUCUUUAUUAAUGAAACCAAGAGACUUACAAAGCAUAUUAUAAGAAAAAUAUAGAGCAACCACUCUAGAACAUGUUCCAAAUUUUGCAAUUUUUGGGGAAAUUAAAACCACUAUCAGUUGAUAUUACAACCACGUUUAGCAGAUGUGAAGUAAUAUUGAGCCAUGUUGAACUGCAUUACAAAGAACCGGAUUUCAAAAAUGUGGGAUUCCAGGCAAAGGUUUAGACCGAAAGGAAAAAAAAACAUUUUCAAAUGACUAAGCAAUGCAUAAUUACAUAAGAUUACAUCUCCGUGUUGCAUGUGUUAAAAAACAAAUAUAACUCAAAAAAAAUGUUCCAUAAAAUAAAGAAAUACAUGGAAAAAGGGAUCUAAAAGGAUCUUGUGAAAAAAUUGAGUUGUGAAUUACGUGAUAAAUCUAUGCACAAAAUAUACAUCUGACAUGAAUAUAUUUAUGCUUAUGAUCUGAUCUGGUUGUAUACAUGGCAAUAAUUUCAUCACCAACAUGUUAUGUUAGACACCAAGGCCCCUAAAAUCCAAAGCUCGAUUCUUCUUGGUACCAAAUUCCAGAUUACUAUACUAUAACAGAAUAAGCCUCAAAAUGGUAAAUCAGGAAUCAACUGUGACCAUACUAUCAAUAGUUAAUACACCAAUUUCUCAUGUCUAGUACGUUAGAAUCAAGAAACAGAGUAGAAUUAAAAAAAUUCAUCAAUUCCCAUUAUAAAACAAAAAGCUACUGAUCAUAUAAACAUUUGUUCGAUAUUAUGAUCAUCCAUCAGUGAUAGGAACCAUAAAUACAAAUCAACUUCUAAGAAGAAAUAUCAAUUAUAAUCACAAUCUUGAACACUUGAGGCCAUCAAAACAGGAUGACCAAUGCUAUCAUGCUUUGCAAUAAGAGAGACAUUCAAUAGGAAAAACAGGUGGAGUUGACAAGUCUCAUCUGAGCAUGAAUGAUGAGCACAUGAAUAAUUCCAGUUCCAGCACUUUUGAAAAGGUUCUGAAAUUAGACAUAGCAGGUGAUUGAAAAUUGAAUAGAGCAAAUUUUUCUUCUUGAAUUGAAUCAUCGGCCUUGGACCAAAAAAUGUGGAUGUUAGUAAACUCUCUCAAAUGAGCAGGUUAAAGAUACGUAGCAUGAAGGAUGCUAAAACAAACAAUUAAAGGAACAAGGGGUAGCAUGAAUAACUUAAAUCAGCACAUUAAAGAUAGAUACAAGGAAGGAAGGAUAUUAAGACAAACAAGAUUGAUGGAAGGCUUCAACAAGCAACUAAAUUUUUGAAAAGCUGGUGGGAGGUUAACUGCCACUGAAUACUGGUUACAGUCAAAUGAGUUUGGCAUUUGGAAUUAUAGGUAGGGGAAGCAGUUCAUUAGGCAAUGUUCAGCCUCGGUUGUGAUAACAAUCCCCUUGUGUAUGGAGUAGUAAUUUGGAGGAGUAGCAUGUGGGGAGUUACUAUAAUGAACCCCAAUCUCUCAUCAAACUACUAUUUUGCCUUGGACUCAUUAUGCAACUCACAAUUUACAAAGCUUUAACAAAAAAAUUAUUCUUGUUUUAAAAAGAAUUCUCCCUCUUACUAUUUUUUCUUACUGAAAUACAACUCAACAAACCAAAGUAGAAUAAAGGACAUGCAGGUAUGAUCAACAUGUAGAAACUCAUAAAAUAAAUUACAAUAUAGAACAAUUUCAGGCAGUGACCACAACAUACAUUAGAACUCAAUCCAGUUACACAUGCAUAAAUAACACUGAAUCACGCAAACAAAGUUGUCAACAUUUCCAAGAAACAUACUACAAAUAGUUCAUAAUAGAAGAUAAAUAGUGAAGGAUAAUCUUUAAAUACCUCAUUCUUGUUUGUGUCAUCUUCUUAGGGUAGCACAUUGUCACUAGGGAGUGAAAGCAGAGACUCAGUAUACAUGGUCACCAGGGAUCCAAUUGGACACGGACCGUCCCAGAAUGAGUUAUGCUCUAGAAGCUGUCCUUUGUCGUUAUACUUCAACAAUUCAGUUUCACCAUUUGUUCCAAUAAUGUCACCACUUUUUGUGGAGCAUAUAGGGGAAAAGUAGGGAAUGCCAUCAAUAGACAAAUUAAGAGUCUUAGUCCAAGACGAAUGCACUUUGUAUUCUUUCAUCACCCAUAUUUCAACUCUGCUAUUGUCAUGAUCCAUACCCGUUAGACUGAGAAAUUGUCCAAAUACCCACAAAUGACUAUAUUCAGAUUCAAGGCCAAAACCAUCUGGAAAAGGCAUCUCUAAAAGUCUCCUUUCCAUUAAAUCAAAUGCAAUAAUAACAUCCCUUGCUAAAUCAUUGUGAAAAGCCAACCAAUGAAUAGCCCCACUAAAAAGUGACCCUACUCUAUGCUCAUCAGGGUAAAGCAUAUAAGGGAACGGAGUACCCUCAAGUUCUUUCCACAUACUAUCUCUCAACGAGAAAAACUCCAAUCGCGAAUUAACGUGAUCAUCAUCAAAGUUUAGUACAUAGGAGAAUGAAACCACCAAGUAAUCAUCUGUUAACUGGUCAUACCCAAAACCAUAGUAAUAUGCUGCAUCUAAAUUGGAACCAAAAGGAGACAAAGGUAUUUUCUUGUUAGCUCCGGUGGAUGGAUUCCACAGGUAUAUGAUGUUUGGAUAAUCGUAAAAAAAUAUAAAUCCUCUACACGAACUUGUAUUUUUAAUACGAUAAACAGAUUGGGGUUUGUGAUGCUUCAAAAUCUAAAGAUAGUGUUUUCGGUAUAUAGUUUGUGAUGAAAAUAAGUCUAUGAGUGUGUUUUGAAGCGGUGAGUUCAAAAUGUGAAUUUGCGAAGUGAGGAUCAUGAGAGAUAAGAGAAAACCAAGACUUACAGACACAUUUGAAACGAAUAAGAGACUUCACUGGUAACCUUGAAAGGAUUUGAACUAUCAAUUCAUCAGGCAGACACGGCAGUGCCAUCGUCUCCAUUCUGCGACUAUUUCUUCUUCAAAGCCGCACCAAUAGUGUGUGUAUCAGGUCUCUAAAAGGAUAUGGUUUGAUUGUGCCCCGUUAAUGUGAGAUGUCUCUUUUCCCAAGAUGCAUUUUAUUAUUGGACAAAUAGUCAUUUUUGUAUCAACUUAAAAUCAUGACAAAUGAUGUAUGCACAACCAUUUUUUUUGAAAAUUUUUAAACAAUUUUAUCUCUCAUACUCACAUUAUAUUUUUACUCACUCUCUUUUUCUUUUUCUCUCUCCAUUAUUUUUUAUCAAUGAAAAGAGAGAAAAAUGAGGUUAUCAUAAAAGUUGUUAGCAAAUGGUUGUUCAAAUACCAUUGCUCUAAAAUCAUAUAUUUGGUUUGGUAAGAGAUAAAUAAUGCAUAAACUUACUUUUAGUCUUGGAGAGUUUACAGAUUGGAUUUCGACAUCUAUUUAAUAUCAUUCAUUCAAUUUACUACCUCCGUCCUUAAUUAUAGUGCCCUUUUGAAAAAAUAAUAUAAAUUAAUAUAGUGGAUAUUUGUAUUAAAUAUGUUUGUAAUUACUAUUAUUUUUAGGGUUAAUUAAGUAAAUUGUCCCUAUAAAUAUUCAUAAUUUUGUUUUUAGUCCCUACAAAAUAAAAUCACAGUUUUUAGUCCCUAUAAAAUUUUCCAUCAACAGUUUUAGUCCCUAUAAAAAAUUUCCAUCAACAUUUUUUGUCCCUAAAAUGCUUAAGAAAAAUGUCACAAGGACUAAAAAGUAUGAUUUUAUUUUGUAGGGACUAAAAACAAAACUGUAAAUAUUUAUAGGACUAAAAACUUAAUUAACCCUUGUUUUUAUAAUUUUAUCCUCUAAAAUAGAGAGUUGAUUUAUGCUCUCAACAUGUUAUUUAUUGCUGAUUGAAGAAAAAGAUGUAUAAUAUAUAGAGGCAUGUAUGUAAAGAAAUAAUUAAUGUAGUUGAAAAUAGCAAAAGGGUCUUAUAAAAAGAGACAAAAAAAUUUCUCAAAAGAGUCUUAUAAUUAGGGAUAGAGGUAAUACUUACUUUUAUAUAAAUAUUUAGUUACUAUCAUAUCACUCUCUCAAAAAGAGUUAUUGUUCACAUUAAGAAACUAUUUUAACGUUAAAUAUUAUGUCAAAUACAUCUAAAGGUCCUUUAAGUUUUUCAUUUUUUCUAAAGUAGUCAUUUAAGUUUCAAAAGUCCCAAACAAGUCCUUUAAGUUUCAAAAGUCCCAAACAAGUUCUUUUAAUUUUUGAAUCGUUUCAAACAAGUCUUUUUAGAGGAUGAUGACGAUGAUUCAAAUGAAAGCAACAAAGUGCAUUAUCCACCAUUUGUCAUGCCUAAAAAGAUGAGUAAUUUUAAGUGGGUGUCAGGAGUCAGAUUUGGUACCAAAGAUGAGUUCAAGGAAGCAAUUACCAACUAUGUUAUCUACAUUAGGACUUGUUUGAAACGAUUCAAAAACUAAAAGGACUUGUUUGGGACUUUUGAAACUUAAAGAACCACUUUGGAAAAAACGAAAAACUUAAAGGACCUUUAGAUGCAUUUCACCUAAAUAUUAUUUUGACUAACAAAGUUAACAAUAAAAAACUAUUUUGAAAUUAAAAAUAUAAGUUAUUUGACUACUUGUUAAAUGUUUAGGAAAAAAAAUGACUAUUUGUGCUUUUAUUAUUCAAUAAAACCUAACAAAAAAAAUAGCUUAUCAAAAUAAAUUAUGUAAUUUUUUAAGAAGAAUAAAUUAAGUUAUCUAAUUAUUUUGAGAGGGAUAAAAGUAAAUGUUACUAAAAACAAGUUUUUUUUUUUUGUCGUAUUAACUUAUAAGUUAUAAACUCCAAAUCUGAAAAUGUCUAGCAGAGCCUAAAUGUUCAAAUAACGACUAUUACAUCUUUUUUGUUCAUAUCAAGUAGUAUAGUGGUUAGAUAAGUAGAGUGAUUGAUGUUCAAACUUCAAACUUUACAUAUAUAUAAUGUCUCUACAAUUGAGUUAUGCUCACGGGAACGGUUAUUGCAUCUCUUUUAUUUCAUCAUCAAAAAAAUUUAUUUUUUUAUUUAAUUUUUUGGUAUAACAUUGCUAAUUAUUUUCUGCUACCAUAAAUGUUAGUUUUAAUGAAAAUUUUGCCAAUAUACAAAUCAAAACGUAUAAAAAUCAAGGAUUUUUUUUUAAAAGCAAAAUCAAGAUUACUUAUUUUAGUUGUAGCAAUAAGUUAUUUGUAUUCUAUAGAAGAAAAAAAUUAUUUGUAUUCCUCUCUCUGAACUAAAGGUUGAGAGAGUUGGAGUCAAAGUGAAUUUUAAUCAAUAAAAUAGAGCGUUCGGUGGUGGAAAAUAUUGACCAAAACAUUAUAAAAUGAUAUCGAAUAAUACUCAUAACUAAAAGAAAUGAUUUGUGAACAUCUCAUUUGUACAACCGACAACUUAUUUGCUAUUUUUAAAUAUUUUUUUGAUUGGUUUUAAUUUCUGUGUUCGUCACAAACAAUAUUAUAUAGUGUUGCAUUAGUUAUUCAAUUUUAAUCGUACAAAUAGCACAACUUCAUAACGAAGUCUUGAGUAUCUUAACUAAUGGGGUGAUAUUAUAACCUAGGUAAUCUUAUUUCACUACCUUAACUCUGUUUACUCAUUUGAGUACCUUAACUAAUGAGGGGAUUCCUUAACCCAAAGUAGCUAACAUUGUCUACUCAUUUUAGUAGCUUAACUACCAUACUUACUUAAGAUCAAUACAACAAGACCCCACCUAGGUUGGUCUCAUAGUGUUGGCUUGGAUCUGAAAGUGUUCUCAUAUGCAAAGUCUCGGGUUCAAUUCUCUCCGAUGUCAAUUUAGAUGGGUUAAUUUAUCUUUUUUUUUUUUUAAAAAAAAAAACAAUACAACAAGUACAAAUAUGGUCUUAAAGUAUACAAAGGUGUAACACAUAAGUUAGAUUGUAAAUUUUACUCCAGGGUAGCCCUGAAAGUAGGGCUUGCAAUGAUUCGAACCAACUCGACAAUAGUUCGAAACUCGAUUCGACAAUUAUCUUGUUGAACUUGGUUCACAAACCAAAUGAGCUGAACUUGAGCUGAAAAUUAAGUUCGUUAAAUAAAUAAGUCGAACUUGAGUUGUAUAUAGUUUAAUUCGGUUGGUUCAUGAACCGACUCGAUAAUAUAUAUAUAUAUAUAUAUAUUACUAAUUUAAUUAACAAUAAUUAUAAUAAAAGAGAGAGAAAAAAAAAAGAAGCUAAUAACAUACUUGUACAAAGAAGAAGCCCUGAUUGACAACGUAUACUAAAAUUAAUCCCACAUCGGGGAGUUUGAAAACAUCUAACAGGAGAAGGAGAUAUAAAAUGAGAAGUGUGCUGCGCAAUAUAUGCAGUACGCUGCUACAUGGACUGUGCUACACCACCGUUGAUAUAGUUUUCAUAUAAUUUAUAAAGUUCAACUUUAUUUUCUAUGACCAGCAUGGUCUGUUGUAGUUUUAUUUUAUUUAGUUCAAUUUUUGUUUUUUUUUUUAAAUUAAUUAAAAGGUCAAGCUAUACAUUUUGACAACAAAAAAAAUUUGUUUUGAACCUAACAAGCUGAACCGAGUAGUUCGUGAACUUUAAACGAGUCGAACUCGAGUUAGGAAAAAGGUUCGUAUUGAAUUCGAGUCAAAUUUUGAGCCGAGCCAAUUCUUAUCGAGUCGAGCUCAGAUGAAUUCGGUUUGACUCGACUCAUUUUCAACCUUACCUGAAAGUGAGUUUUCUCCGGGAUCUCCAUUCACCGUGUGGAAUCAAACCAUAUUCGAUGUAAUUUUCAUCGGGUGGCUGAUUGAUAUCAAUUUCACUUGAACAUUAUGUAACACAUGACAAAGCAGUACCCUAUCAUUAGAUAGUUUCCUUUAUCAUCAUUAUUUAUUUUCAAUCAAAAUAUAACUCAUAGUGAUCUAUUAACAACAACACAAGUUACUAAUCAAGAUAUCAUUAUAAGUUAACAUGUUCUCUCGUCUUACUCCAAGUUCUCGAACUUCAUCUAAUCUUUACCUUCCCAUUAAGAAACAUACAUUCUACUUGAAAAAAUAUAUAUAAAUAUAGAAGAAUCUUGAUAAACUAAAAUAGGAAAAUCAAUGUUGCAAAUGGAUGAAAACUAGUUCUAAGCAUUCUGCGCAGGACUGUUGAAGUUCAUUUCAGUAAAUAUGUAACACCACAAGAUGUCUGAAGGUCUUCAAUCUCGUUCUCUGAAGUUGCUUUAUGGCUGUGCAAUUCACUGCAACUUAAAAGACUAUUAUUAAGGUGUGAAAAAAAAUGCAACUCAAAGAAUUAAGCUAACAAUAGAAUAUAUGUAAAAGUAAAUCCAUAAAACAAAAAAACCAAGUGCCAAAAAUAAAGAAGGAACAUUUUGAACUGAACUGUCAAUGUGAAAUAGACACAACCAACCAAAUCUGCAUAACUAGCAAGUAAACCUUAUGCAGAUAAUCAACUAAACUAGAAAGAGAAAAAAAUGGGUAAACAUCAACAUACGUAUGACUUCAGAAAAUGGCUAAACAACAACAUCUAUGUAGAGCUGUCAAAACGGGCCGGCCCGGAUGGGCCGACCCGUUUAGCCCGAAUAAAUAUAGGGCUUGGGCCUAAAAUAUUGAGCCCGAAUUUUAAUAGGGUUUUUUAGCCCGGUACCCGUUAGGGCUAGCCCGAAUGGGCCGCGGGUAGCCCGUUAGCCCGCAUAACAAAAAAAAAUUCUAUAAAUUAUAUAUAUUUUUCAAAUAAUUAUUUACUUAGUUGAUUAUCAAAGUAAAAAAAACAAAAGUGAAAAUUCAAUGAAUUAACACAAAUAUAAAUGUAAUAUAAAAUUAUAUUUAUUCAUUUCGUUAUUUAUAGUUUUAAAGAUCGAAUAUAUAAAUAUCUAUAACCAUAACAUAUCUAAUUUAUUUAAAAUCAUUUUUUUCGUCGUUUUAGUUUACGACGUUUGUACGAAAAUGUUUACAAUUUACUUUUGUGCUAGACAUUAUUUAAACAUAUUAAAAUAUUAUUUAUAAAAAAAUUAUAGUAGUGUUUUAUAGUAUUUUUUUAAAAUAAAAAAUAUAUAUAAUUUUUAAUACGGGCCGCCCCGUUUAGCCCGCGGCCCGUGUAGGGCCGGGCUCGGGUAGUAUAUUUCAAGCCCGUUUUGUCAACCGGGCUUUUUGGUCCAGCCCGCUAGGGCCGGCCCGUUUAGGGUCGGACCGCCCGUUUUGACAGCUCUACAUCUAUGACUUCAAAAUAAAUAUCAACACAGCAAAUAUGAAGACCAAACACUUCAGCAAAAGAAAUAAAACAUAUCAACUUCUGUGCUUCAAACAAAUUAAUGGAUUGAUGCAUCAAUCUUAGAAAUUAUAACUGUGGACCCUCCUUCAUUGCUGCAAAUCAACUCAAAGAGUGCACUUAACAUCUCGCGCAUAUCAAAUAAACCAUCAUUGAAGACAAUAUUGUUUCUUUUCAACCACAAAAAUCAAUUUAUUGAUGCUAAAAUAUAUGUAUCCUUGAGUAUAAGGAUAUACACAUAUAUCAUGCAUGUUUUCACACACAUGUAUAAACUAAUUAAUUAGAGUGGAAAUAUGUUUAAUUUUGUGCAACUGCCAGUACUACGAGACGAUUAUUACAUUCAAAAAUUCUUUGGAAACUCUUCACAUAUCUGUGGAAUGGAAGUCAAAUGUUGCUUGUCUAGAUGCAGUAUUACAGUGAAAGGAAAAUCAAAACAGAUCAUACCUAGCUUGCUUCACAAUAAUGAUGCUUUUUAUAUAAGUAAGGCUAAGAACACUUCAAAAAUGAUCAAUCUCGAGGCAAGUGUGUUGAUUUUUAAAAGAAUAGACCUGUCAUAAUUAGUGUGUUGAAAGAGUAUAUUCAAAAGAGUGUAUUUCUAGCAUUUCUCUUUUUGACAUUAUUUCAUGGAAUUCUAUCUUUUCAGGCUCCUUACAAAUCUAUUAUUUUUCCUCAUACUAAUAAAAUGGAAAUGGUCCUCUAUUUCUCACCCUCUACAUUACCAUAGUUUUUGGAGUAUGAAUAUAAUAAUGUGACUUUGGUGGAUUCAAAUACUCUCUAGACAGACUCUAAAACUAUGGUAAUGGAGAGAAGAAACGGAGAGGGGAAAUGGAAAGGAUCCUAACCAUAAUAAAACAAUAUUAAUGUAUUGAUUAUUGCUAUAUGAAGCUCCCCAUUUCUUUUUAGAAAUGGAGAGGAUUCUAACCCCUGUGAAAGAUGUUGGAAAGCAUAUAUAGGAAUCUUGUAACAGCAGUAAUUGCAGUAGAUAUGAUCAGUAUAUUUAUUGUUCUUGGUUUACAUAAUUCAGUUCCACUGAGUAGUUUAGAGUUUAGAUACAUGGAAUGCAUCAAGUCUCUAGUUUUCUCUUCAUUUAACAGAAUAAAAAAGAAGAAAGUCUCAAGAAAGCUAAAGUGUUUUUUCAUAAUUGAUAUUGUUGAAAUCUCAGGUGGAGAUAAUGGGAAUAUAAUAAGCUUUGGCUAUUUUCACAUAUCUUCCAUUGCCAAUGAAACAACUACAAACAGUUGAACAUAUUUUUCGCCAUGAUAUCACACAUUGAGACAGUAAACGCUCUGAUUAGCAAUAAUACUAAUAGUAAUCAAUAUAGUUUGAAAAAACUGCCUUGUUAACACCAAAGUCUUAGUAAUAGAAAUUAUACCGAAGCUUGCAUUACUAAAUGUGGGCAGGAAAAUAUAUAUUACAUAUCUCCACAACAACAACAACGACCAAACAUUAUCCUACAAAGCGGAGUCGGCUACAUACAUCAAACAAUGCCAUAAUGUUCUGUCAUAUAUCAUGUUUCUAUCCAACUCAUUAAUCUCUAGAUUUUCUAUAUAGUAAUGUAAACUACACAUUGUACUUAUGUCAGGUGAAAAGAGACAUGGUUCGCGACAUGAAUAUCUGCCACAUAUUAACAGGGAAAACAAAUGAAUUUCUGAUAUUUUUCUGCAUUAACUUCAGAAUCAAGCAGAGAAAAAGGAAAAUUUUAUGUGGUUGAAAACAUGGAAUCUCAUCUUUAUGAAACCAUUUACGGAGCAUAUUUUCAAAAACAAUCUAGCGCAAUGACUCUAGAACAGGUACCAGAUUUGGCAAUUUGUAGGGGAAAUUAAAACAGCUAGCAAAGUUAACAUUAACAAUAUACAUGAUUGAGGACAUCAAUAUCUCCACAUAUCAACAAAAAAAAAUGAAUUUCUUAUCUUUUGCUGCAUUAAUUUCAAAAUCAAGCAGAGGAAGAGGAAAGUUUUAUGUGGGUGUAAGCGUGUAAUCUCAUCUUUAUGAAAUCAUAACACUUACGAAGGAUAUUUUCAGAAAAAUCUAGAGCAAUGACUCUAGAACAGGUCUAGAUUUGACAAUUUGUUGGGGUAAUUAAAACAACUAGCACAGUUAACAUUAAUAAGACAACCACCUUUAGCAGAUUUGGUAAUCCUGACCAACAUGCAUAAACUCAAAAUAAAUUAAAAAAUAAAACAAUUUCAAGCAAUGACCACAACAUACAUUAGAACUCAAUCCAGUGACACAUGUAUAAAUAUCAGUGAAUCACACAAACAAAGCUGUCAACAUGCCCAACAAACAUACUACAAAUAGUUGACCAAUAAACAUAAAACAACACUAUACUCAUUGCAGCUGGCCAAUAGUUCGUAAUACAAGGUAAAUAUCAAGAAAAUUGUGAAGGAUAGUAUUUUAAUACCUCAUUCUUCUUGUUUGUGAUGUCUUCUUAGGCUUGCACAUUGUCACCAGGGAGUGAAAGCAAAGACUCUGUAUACACGGUCACUUGGGAUCCAAAUGGAAGUGGACCGUCCCAGAAUGAUCCAUGCUCUAGAAGCUGUCCUCUGUCAUUAUACUUUAGUAAUUUGAUAUCACCGUCUGUUCCAACAAUGUCACCAUUUUUUGUAGAGCAUAUUGGGUAAAAGGAAAGAGUAUAAAUGCCAUCAAUAGGAAGGACAAGAGUUUUAGUCCAAGAAGAAUGCACUUUGUAUUCGUUCAUCACCCAUAUUUCAACUCUUUCAUUAGCCCAAUCAACAGCCCAUAAACUGAGAAAUUCUCCAAAUACCCACAAAUUACAAUUAUCAGUUGUAUGGUGAAAACCAUCAGGAAAAGGCAUCUCUAAAAGUUUCCGAUCCAUUAAAUCAAAUGCAAUUAUAACUUGCCUCUUUAUAUCACCACGAACAACCAGCCAAUGAAUAGCUCCAUUAAAGAGUGACCCUACUAUGUUAUCAGAAGCAUAAAGAACAUACGGGGAGUGAGCAGCCUCAAGUUCUUUCCAAGUAUUAUCUCUCAAUGAAAAAAACCUCAAACACGGAUAGUCCAUUAAUUCUUGGCAUGUUACAGAAACUACCAAGUAAUCAUCUCUUAAUUGAUCAUACCCAAAUCCAUAUAGACAAUGGAAACUAUUUGAAUCAUUAGGAGACAAAGGUAUUUGUUUGUAAACUCUAGUUGAUGGAUUCCAUAUGAAUAGGUCUGGAUCAUUGUGCAGAAAUAUAAAUCCUCUACACGAACUUGAAUUCGUAUCAAGUGAAUCACAUGGGGGUUCCACAAAAUUAGGGAUCGGGUUGGGAAUUUCAGAAACAGCAUUAUCACAAUGCAAUGCUUCAAAAUCUAAAGAUAGUGUAGUCGGAACAUGAUUUAACAUGAACAAAACUCUACGAGAGUGUUUUGCGGUAAUUUGAAAAUGAGAAUUUGCAAAAUGAGUAUCGGAGAUAAGAGAAAACCAAGACUUACAAACGCACUUGAAACGUAGAAGAGACUUCACCGGUAACCAUAAAAGGAUUUGAAUUAUCAAUUCAAGUGGCAGAUAUGGCGCUGUCUUCUCCUCCUUCUUCUUCACUGUGCGUCUUUUUUCUCUGCAACUGUUUCUCAUCGUGAGAGUUUGGGGCUAUGCGUGGAGCGUGCUUGUUCUUUGAGUUUGACAACAAAAUAAAGAAUACGGUAACCGUUAAAGUUUUAAAAUAUUCUUUCAUUGGUCCUAAUUUUCCUUGUCUUAAAUUAUUAGGCUAAACUGCAGUUUUGACCCCCUAACUUUCAUAAAGGUAUGAUUUUGACCCCCUAAUAAAAAAAAUUACAAUUUAAAACCCUAUGUUUUAGCCCCUUUGCAAAAGAGACCUUUUGAUCAAUUUUGAUCGGAUCAACGCGCAGAUGUUAUGCCACAUGUGUAUUAUCCCAUUUAUUUUUAUUGAAAAAGCCAAUUGUGUAAUACUUGAAUUAAAAAAAAGCCAAUUGUGUAAUAGCACACUUUGUGCUGUUAUAACACUUUCUGAUAGCUAGCUAAGGUUCUGAUAUAUAACACACUUUGUGAUAUUGUAGGAUAAUCCAACUCUUCAACACCCUGAAGCUUCAAAUGCACAAACUUCAAAUGCACCAGCUUCAAAUGCACAACCUUUCCAUUUUAUUUUUUUUUAAUUCAAGUAUUACACAAUUGGCUUUUUCAAUAAAAAUAAAUGGGAAAAUACACAUGUGGCAUGACACCUGUGCGUUGACCCGGUCAAAAUUGACCAAAAGGUCUUUUUUGCAAAGGGGCUAAAACAUAGGGGUUUAAAUUGUAAUUUUUUUAUUAGGGGGCCAAAAUCGCACCUUUAUGAAAGUUAGGGGGUCAAAACUGCAGUUUAGCCAAAUUAUUAUCAAUUUUACGAUAUCCAUAAUUUUUGCAUUUCAAUACUUCACUAACUAAUAUUAAUAAUCAGAGUAUUUUAAUAAAUGACAAAUAUCUUAACAUUUAAAUCAACACUAUUAAUAUUUUUUUUAAUAUCCCGUGUAAAAUUUAAAUGGAACACCUAAUAUAAGACUGAGGAAGUACUUAAUCAAAGUAAUCUCUCAUGUUAAAAUGUUCUUUAACGUUGACUUUAACUAUUUUUAUAUAAAUACCGAUAUGACAAUAUAUAAGUAUAUUAAGGGACUAAUAUGACAACAUUUUUUUUCAAGAAGUUAAAUCAACCCCCGAAAUGAUUGGCACCGGAUAGAAUCAAACUUUAGACAUUGAGAGGAGCACAUUAGAAGUCAACAUUAUCAAUCUAACUCAAGAGGGUUUUAAUACGACAAUUUUGACUAACAUAGGGUACAAUUAGGACUAUUUUAAAAUUUUGAUAUAUUGUGAAACUAUUGUGAUUACUUGUCAUAUAUUCAAGGACAAAAAUGAUCAUUACCCCCAAUAAAGAUUUGUUAGGGUGAGGAAUUAAACAAGGGUGGUUAACCGAUAGAGUUGCAAAUGAUUUUGGUGGAAUAUUCGUUAAAUCACCUCGCUAAAUAUAAAUAUUGGUUCAACUUAAAACUUAAUUCAAGCUCCGUAGAACAUUUUUUUUAAAAAAGUUCCUUAGAACAUUUUUGUUAACCCUAAUUUGACUCAUUUAAAGUAAAUGAAUAGCUACCGUUCUAUUCGUUUGCUUGAAUCACAUUAUUGUAUAAAAAUGUCAAAUUUUCUAAACGUUUGACCUUUUUUUUAAGAGACGAAGCAAGGAUUGAUUUUAAAAUUAAAAUUAUUAGAAUUAUAAUGUUUUUAAGUAAUAAAUAUAAAUACAAAGUUCAGACUUGCAUAAAUAUAGAAAGUUAAAAGGGACCCAUGUUUAGGGAAAUAUGAUCUUUUGACCCUCUAACAUAAGGGAAAUAUGCUCUUAUGGGAUACAUGAUGUCUUCUCAGCAAUUUUGAGACAAAAUGGGUCAGAAUUGCUAUUUUUUUUGUUAGGGGGCCAAAAUCGUAACUUUUUAAAAGUUAAUGUGUCUAAAAUGCACUUAAAGAUAAAAUUUAUCUAAGAGGUGUCAAUUCAAUGAUAAGAACUUGAUUUUUUUUUUUGAAGGAAAAUGCUUGAUCAUUAGCUAAAAAAAAAGCGAUUCGAGUACAAAUAUUCUCUAUUUUACUUAUGAGUAUCACACAUACUUAUAAACAGAAAUUCUGCAGCUUUCCAUUUUGAAUACUCUUCACAAAAAAAUGUCUCUUUUUUUAUAGAACAAACCUUAUGAUAUUUCAUUCAAAACAUACGACGUAAUAAAAAUCAAUCACUCAGAAACAUACCAAAAAAAAAAAAAAAACACGAUCCUUAAAAACCGCUGGAAUAACAUUAAACUGAAAUAGGAAAAUCAAUGUAACAAUGUUUUUUCUUUUUUUUUUACAUAGAACAAACCUUAUGACAUUUCAUUCAAAACAAACGAAAUAAUAAAAAUCAAUCACUAAGAAACAUACCAAAAAAAUAAAAAACCCGAUCCCUAAAAACCGCUGGAAUAACAUUAACGGAAAUAGAAAAAUCAAUGUAACAAAUUGAUGAAAACUAGUUCUAAGGCUUCUGAGCAGAAAUUUGCUUUAGUAAUUGGUAAGAACACAAGAUAUUUGAAGGUGUUCAAUCUCGUCCUCUGUCAAAUUUCUUUAGGACUGUGCAAUUCUCUGCAACUUAAAAGACUUUAAUUACGGUCUGACAUAAGUAUGUGUGAAAGAAAAAAAAUGUGAUUCAAAUAAUUAAGGUGAAAAACAACCAUGCUAACAAUAGAAUAUAUUUUUUCAAAAAAAAAAAAUGAAUAUAUGUGAAAAAAAAAGCACUACUCUAUAACUUUAGAAUAAAUAUCAACAUGUCCUCGUAAGUUUAUAUGGACAAUGCAUAAUAUAUGUAAGGUUCGAAGUUCAAAUCCCGACCACCGAAAAAAAAUAAAAAAAAAUAAAUAUCAACAUGGAAAAUAUAUAUGUAGACCAAAUAAAAACACUUCAGCAGAAGAAAUGAAAACAGAUUAACUUCUGUGCUUCAAACGUAUUAAUGGAUUGCAAGCUGCACCAAACUGAUAAGUUAUAAUUGUUGUGACCCUCCUUCAUUGCCACAAACCAACUCUAAGAUCACACUUUAAUGCGGAAGUAAAAACAAAACCAAUCUAUAGAUUCAGUACUUUAGUGGAAGUAAAAACAAAACCAAUCUUACACAUCUUGAUUUUGAAAAAAUAAACCUAUCAUGAAUAAUGUGUCAAAACAGUAUAUUUCAUGAAAUUCUAUCUAAUAUAUUUUUUCUUUUUCCUCAUACUAAUAAAACAGAAUAGAACCUCUCUAUUUCUCACACACUCUAAUACCUUAUUAGUUUUAGGAAUAUAGAAAAGAAGCAGAGAGGGGAAAUUGAAAGGAUCCUAAUAGGAAACAAAUGGAUUUCUUUUUCUUUUACUGCAUUAAUUUCAAAUCAAAAAAGAGGAAGAGGAAAAUUUUGUGGGAGAAGGGUGUCAUCUCAUCUUUAUGAAGCCAUAACACUUGUGAAGCAUAUUUUAAGAAAAAUCUAGUGCAAUGAAUCUAGAACAGGUUGCAGAUUUUGCAAUUUUUAGGGGAAAUUAAAAACUGUAACAGUAAAGCAUAAUUGAAAUUAAUAAGACAAACACCUUUAGCAGAUUUGGUAAUCUUGAUCAACAUGCAUAAACUCAUCAAAUUAAUUACAAUAUAAAACAAUUUUAUGUUGGAAUAUUUUAUUAUUUAUUAUAUUCCAAUAUCAUUAUGUGGGCAAAUAUCGUAACAAUAAUUAUAUUAGCUAUUUAUCAAUUGUGGGCCUUAGUUGAUUAGUGAUCAAAUUAAGUAAUAAGGCUAUUAGAUUUCUAAUUGGAUAAUUAAUUAAAUAUUUAAUUAGUUGAUAUGGACUCAAUGAGUGGAUGUUCGGAUGGCCCAUUAACGGAAUAAUGGGAAACCCUAAUGGCCAUCAAAUAUAAAAGAGGCUAUGGUCCCCAAUAUACCGUACACGGCAAUACUCUCUCUUCUCCCCAUCUGAAGAGAACUUGAGGCAUAAAGGUACUGGUUGAGGAAGAACCAAAUUAGUCGCCGCUAACUCUAUUGUGUGUUUCAGAUCAUCUCCUCUCUUUGGUUAUCGUUGUUGAUGAGAGGGCUGUUACAAAAGCUUUAUUCAGGUAUUCCUAAUACCCUAAUUCUUAAUAUCUUGAUAAAUCAAACAUGUCGUAGAUCCGAUCAUAAUUAUGUUCAAUGUUUUGUUUGCUUCCGCUAUUGAUUCAUAGUUGAACAUAUUUUAUGAAAUCUAUUUUUAUUAAGACCUAAAUUUCUAACAAGUGGUAUCAGAGCCACCUUCAUGUUUGAUUUAUUGAGAUUUUGUGUUAAUUAUAUUGUUCGAUUUUAUUUUGAUAUGGCUUAUAUAUGUUAUCGAUGAUUAUUGCUUUAUUUUCUUUAUCGAUGACUUCAUGUAGCCUAUUUGUAAAUCGGUGGUAAAUCUAUGCCUGUUAGUCAUUACCUUGUUAUUGAAUGUUUAGCUUCAAUUUUUGUUUGUUGAGGCGUGACACAUAUCUGCCAUUGAUGGCUUUUCACCUUUUCCUAUUUGUAAAUCAGUGUCAAUUUUAUUUUGGCUGUAAUGCCUUCGUCGAUGCCUAUUUGGUUUUAUUUUUUUUAUUGAAUGAUGCUUUAUAUUAUAUACAUGAAUUUGUGCAUCGAUAGGCAUAUUGAAUUUUUUGCUAAUUUUCAUUGUGCAUACAUAUAUUUGUUCACUUGUAUAUCAGUGUUGCUUGUCCGUCAAUUUCAAAAUAGUGCUCCCUUCUUGUUCCUUUAAAAUUGUUUGGGCAUGAUAGUUUGUUUGGUUUACAAGAUCCAUCAUAUUGAUUUUCAAUUUGGUGAGAUAUAAUCACUUUUGGUUUACUGCGUAUAAUUGCAUAUGAAUAUAACAAUCUCUUGGAUUAUUGUGUCAUGAAUAAAUUUUUCCGGUCUUGAUACAUAUUGAUUUUAAUUUAUUUUUAUAAUUUUUUUUGUUAUGUCAAUAUUUGGGUUUAAUUCAGUUCCGGUAUUAGCUUUAUUCAAUUUUAAUUGGGUAAGCAUGUUAUACGCUUGUGGCUCCUUCAGCAUCAGCCAUCUUUGUAUUGAGAAAAUUGAUAUGCAGUGAUUGCUUAGUUUGACCAAAUUGAAUUGUUAUGAAGAUUUAAUUCAUAUAUAAAUCUUAAUUUUUUGGUGGUUUGAAUUUUAAUUGAAAAAGGGCUCAUAAGCAUAUUUUGUUUGGUUUGGUUUGACCUUUGUACAUUGAGUAUUUGGUUUACAUAAAGUUUUCAAAAGCAGGAUAUUGGUUGGUGUUUGGAAAUUUCAUAUAGGUGAGAAUUCUUUCUAUAAUUUACCCAUGUUCUGCUGUUUAGAGCCUUCCAUUUGAUUUCUAUUUGAAAUUGGUUUUGAUUCACAUUCAUUUUGUUGUUGAAAGUUUUUUAUUUUUGAGAAAUAAGGAAAAUUAAGUCAUGUUGUAUAUAUUUGGUUAUAAUAUACAUUGUGAAUAUUUGCUGCCUUUAUCGAUGAAUCUCAAAAUAUUAUGAAGAAAUUUUAGUAUAAAAGUAAGGAUUUGAUUCUUUAAAGUUUUAAAAACAAUAAUAAUUCUAGUUUUGUUUGUUUAUUUAUAAACAUAAAAUAUAUUUCCUUAUUUAAAUAAUUGAGUUUAGAGUUAUUCAUUGUUUUAUUUAAAGAAUCAAUUGGUAUAUGUGAAUCAAUUGUGGCAUGAAUAUUUUGGUGCACAUAAGGUUCAAUUUUCUUUUGGUUUCUAAUUGAAUAUUUUUCUUAAUUAUAGCAUGAUUAUGAUGUUAGACUUUAUUGUUAUUAAGUUUUCUACAAUAAUAUUUUGUCUUAUCAUGCAUUUUGAAUAUAUUUCAUGCUAUGUUUGUUGUUGCAUUUAUGCGAUAUAUGUAAAUGUAUUGUCAUACACACAUUGGUGUGAUUUGUGACUUACAUCUUCUUUCAAAUUCGUGAUUUUGUCUUCACACUUAGGUAUUGUCAUACACACAUUGGUGUGAUUUGUGACUUUCAUCUUCUUUCAAAUUCGUGAAUUUGUCUUCACACUUAAGGGUUGUCGAGUGACCUUAUGGUUACUUAGCAACAUAAUGGACUAAUUCAGCCUACAUUAUGUCAGUAGUGCUUUGUAAAUUUAAGAUCAUUCCCAUUUAAUUUGCUGUGAAAUGUCUAGUAAUUGCGGUUGUUUUGGUUGAAGCAACAUGUUGCCAAAGUAACCUCUGUUGCGUAGAUUUGAUUCAACUGAACUUGCAAAAGACGUAGUAUGAAAUUAUCCAUGUGAGUUGUCGUCGGCCCCAAGGAAGGCACAACUUGACCGGAUAAUUACAUACAUAUGAUAGUAAAUGUAUGGUGAUUAUAAAGUAAUUAUGCAUGUGAAUAAUAGGAUACCUGAAUGUGACUAUUAUUUGACAGGACUUAUCACCUCAUUUAAUAUAUAUUAAGAUUAUCUAGUAACUGCAGUUGAGUCGGUUGAAACAAUAAUGUUGCCCAAGUAACCUCUGUUGCGUAUAUUCGAUUCAACUGAAGUUACAAAAGAUGUAGUGUGUAAUUAUUUAUGCGAGUUGUCGUCGGCCCCAAGGAAGGCACAACUUGGCCGGAUAGUUACAUACCUGUGAUGGUAAAUAUGUGGUGAUUAUAACGUAAUUAUCCAUGUGGAUAAUAGGAUGCCCAAAGGUGACUAUUAUUUGACAGGACUUAUCACCAAUGUUUGAUUAUUACAUUGAGAGUACCGCUUGCAGUUAAUUCUUAGCAAUCCAAAGAUUGUGUUUUAAUGGUGCGCUUGGUAUCUUGUUAAGGUCUUUUAUUUACAAAUAAAGAAGCAUGUUUCUUUAAUAUUUUACUGACAUGUAUGUUGAUGUUGUGUUAGUGUAAACUUAUUUAAUUAUUUAAGAGUUUACAUUCACAUAUAUUACGAUAAACAUAUGACAAUUAUAAGAAUUUAUUCUUUGUCAAAAUUGUCAUUGUUUGAUCAUUGUUGUAAACUACCACUAGCAAUUGAUAUUAAUGUUUGAAGACUUGAUAUUGAUGGUGCACUAGGUAUUUUGGUGAGUACUUUUGCUUCUCUUAUUCUCUUUAAACUAAUAUAGUUUAUGUAUAUGUUAAUUUGAGUUAAUUUUUUAACUCUUAAAAGUUCUUUUAGGAAUUAAAGAAUAAUAUUAAUAUUGUUCUUGGAUCUAGACCUUAGAUAAGGGUGAUGAAACUCACAUUCUCUCACUAAUUCAGCACAUAAUGUGAGAAUCAAGUAUGACAAGUGAAUAUACACCAAAUCUCUUAGGUCACGUAAGAUCAUAAAGCCAAAAUAUCAUACGUAUUAGAGGUGUUAUUUAAAAUGACAAAAAUUUUGUCAUAUUUUCUUUGCUUAAACUAAGGUGUUUUUUAAAAGCAAUAUAGAGAAAGACAAGCUCUCAUUGGAGAGUGGGUAUUUCGUUAAGGUUAUUAGGCAAACAAAACGUUAGGAGCACAUUAUGUGAACAUUUAAUCUUGCUAAGACGCUAAAAAUUCGACUAUCAUAUGACUUGUUCGAAAAUUCAGUAAUUUCGACUAUCAUAUGACUUGUUCAAGAAUUCAGUAUUUUGUAUUAUCUUUGCACAAUUUAGUUUAUAACUGUUACAGUUAGAAAUGAUCGUUUAAAUGAUCAAUUCAUAAAGUGUGCAAAUAAGGAAAGGCCGAAGCAAGAGAAAAUAAAAUAGUGCUUUCUUCGGAAAAUACCUCAAAAGAUAAGGGCAAAUAAAGAAAGGUAGUCUUGACUGACUUAUGUCCAAUGAUGUUGAAAGAUAUAUCAAUUUAGAAUGGACAAAGUCGAUAAAGAUUGAUUUAUUCAUUUUUUAAACCAAUUUUAGAUUGUCGUUACUAGUUUUUUUGUAUUUAAAAGACAAUUUGGUGAAUCAUCGUUUGAAUUUUAUUUAUUUAUUUAUUUUUCUUUGAAUAAGUCAAGAUAUUUUGAGUUCUAUUUUCAAUUGAUGAUUCAAUGUGUCUUUUAAGUUCAAUUAUUAGAGUCAAUUCAGUUAUGACUUGUGACAUUCUAUAUUGUUUAAGGUUUUGAAUACUAUAAGUUUUUCGUCCCACAAAUUAAGAAAUUUUUUUUGAGACAUAAAUUGUUAAGUUUUCUUGAGGAUAUUGACUUUGGGGGAGAGAUAUGGUAAUAGAACAAAAUUGAAUGAGGAAGAAUUAGUUCUAAACUAAUUCAUAUAGUUACUAUUAUUAUAGUAUAUUUCGAUCAUCAUGAGGACAUUAUUGUUCUACCUCUCAAUCAAGUUAAGAAACUAUUUCAUCUAGAUCAAACUCAACACCCUCAAGAAUUAGGGAUUCUAGUGUCAUUAAGAAUUGACUGAAAAGAGAAAUUCUAUUUAGUUUAAUUGAAAGACUUCAUUAGGAUAGUCAUGAUACUAGUUUGCUUAUUAUAAUUUUGGAGCUGCAUAAGAUGGAUUUCAAUAUGGUUUUCUUAAUGGUGACAUUAAUGAUACAAUAUGGUGCAACUAAAUAAAGCUUUUGUGUUAAUUGAUACAAAGUAGAUAGUUUGCAAAGUCAUGAAAUCCACUUGUAAGUUAAAAAAUUUGUCUCUUUAGUGUUACAACAAAUUCUCAUAAAGUAAUUGUCUCGUUUGGUUUUGAGAUAAUAUUAAGUAGAGUUGUGGAUUUAGUAAGCUUAGUGGGAGUAAUUUUAUAUUCCUAGUUUAAUAUGUCAAUUUUAUUUUAUUUAGUCAACGAUGAUAUAUGUUUGUUAUGUGAAACAAGGAAAUCUCUAACAAAAGUUAAUGAUGAAAGAUCCUGGAGACACCUCUUUUAUAUUAGGCAUUUCAAUACUUAGAGAUUCUUCUCAAGGUAUUAUUCGGAUAUCACAAAAGAGUUAUAUCAAUAAAGUUGAAAAUAAAAUGACAUAAUUUUUUGGAUGACCUCAAUCAUCGAGAGAGACUUUUCAGUCUCAAAUAUUGCCCAUUAAGAAAUUUAUGAAUUCAGAAAUUUAAGUAUUUUCCUACACUUUGCCUAUAGGAUUUUUUUUAUGUAUGAUUUUAUUAUACACAUUUGAAAAUAAUGUAUAUAAUAAGAUUGUUUGACAGAUACUUGAGCAAUUCAAAGUUUGAAUUCUUGAAAAGGCAACCAUAAGGAUUAUUAAAGAGAACAAGAGAAUUAUUACUCACAUUAGAAAUCUGACAAUUUGGAGAUCGUUAGUGUCUCAAACUCUUGCUUUUGGAUGUUUGUAUAUAAUACACAUCUAACUCAGGAAAUUACUCUAAGUAUUUAUGUCACUUGGUUGUAUAUUGUUAAAGGUAUUGAAAGACCACUAAAGUUAUAUAGUGACAUAAUUCAGUUGUAUAUUUAUUUGAUAACAAAGUUUACAACGUUCAUUACCUUUUGUUGUUAAAUGAUAGAACACAUAGAGACAAACUUUAUGCUAGCUAUACCACUAAUCAAAGACAUGACACGUAAGGUCUUUCAUGUGGUUGUUGUCAUUAAGGAUGUCUUGGAUUAGUGGGAGUCUCUUAUUUUAUGUUCUAUAUUUUUGUUUUGAUAUUGAUACAGACUUUAUGUUAUGAUUUUCUGCAGAAAUAAAAUUCAUGAGGUUAUUAUUGUUAUAACCAUUUCUGUAUCAUUUGUGCAAAUUUUAAAUUUGCAAAACUUCAGUUUGAUCUCAUUAAAGACUUUAGUUGGAUCAGUUGGAAAUAGGCAUGAUUCAGAGAUCACAUUACAUGAAAUUUCCAUGCCACUCAUCCAUAUCAAUCUAUGUCAUCAAGUGCAUUGAUAUGGUGGUCGUCGGGGUUCCGUCACGUUAUACGUCAGUGACGACAGCCGCGGUGGUCCCAUUAUUAAUGUAUGAGGUGGACCAGAUUGUAAAGUUGAAAUCUAAAGAUAAAUAGCAUUCAGUUGCGCGCCUAAAGAAUUCUGAUAUAAUUAUUAAGAUAUGUAGCCCAAGUGGGAGAUUGUUGGAAUAUUUUAUUAUUUAUUAUAUUCCAAUAUCAUUAUGUGGGCAAAUAUCGUAACAAUAAUUAUAUUAGCUAUUUAUCAAUUGUGGGCCUUAGUUGAUUAGUGAUCAAAUUAAGUAAUAAGGCUAUUAGAUUUCUAAUUGGAUAAUUAAUUAAAUAUUUAAUUAGUUGAUAUGGACUCAAUGAGUGGAUGUUCGGAUGGCCCAUUAACGGAAUAAUGGGAAACCCUAAUGGCCAUCCAAUAUAAAAGAGGCUAUGGUCCCCAAUAUACCGUACACGGCAAUACUCUCUCUUCUCCCCAUCUGAAGAGAACUUGAGGCAUAAAGGUACUGGUUGAGGAAGAACCAAAUUAGUCGCCGCUAACUCUAUUGUGUGUUUCAGAUCAUCUCCUCUCUUUGGUUAUCGUUGUUGAUGAGAGGGCUGUUACAAAAGCUUUAUUCAGGUAUUCCUAAUACCCUAAUUCUUAAUAUCUUGAUAAAUCAAACAUGUCGUAGAUCCGAUCAUAAUUAUGUUCAAUGUUUUGUUUGCUUCCGCUAUUGAUUCAUAGUUGAACAUAUUUUAUGAAAUCUAUUUUUAUUAAGACCUAAAUUUCUAACAUUUUAAGCAAGCAGUGACCACAUCAUAUACAUUAGAACUCAAUCCAGUUGCACUUACACAUUCGUAAAUUACAGUGAAUCACACAGACAUUUAAAGUUGUCAAUAUUUCCAACAAACAUAUUACCCGACAAUGGUAUGUUUUUGGGAGCUUCCAUAGGAAGAUGUUUUUACGACACAGCAAAAAUAUAAAUCUUCUGCACAAACUUGUAUUUUCGAUACGGUUCUUAAAAUUUGGGUUUGGUAUUUCAGCAACAGUAUCUUAUUUGCGCUAAGUAUGCAUGACUAUAGAAUUACAUUCCGACUAUUAAGUCAACUUGUGUUAAAAAAACAUAGGAAAGGGGAAAAUUUUAUCAAUUAAACUUGUGUUAGCGAAUAUAAUAGUAUAAACCGGAUGUAUGUAAAUGUAAAUCUCCUUGUAAAUGUUGUUUGAUAUCUAUGUUGUAGUAUUUGCACAAUGUAUAUCAUAUUCUUUAUAAGAAUUGUUUAAAUUUUGAUUGAUAAUUUUUUAAGGAUAAUUGCAUUGACUUCCCUUAAGGUUUGUUAUAAUAUCAUUCACACCCCAUCUAUAUUUUUUAACAAACAAACUCACUACUCAAUUUUCAUUGUGAUAAACAUCUAACGUCUAGGUUAACAUUAUUUGUACUUUUCACAAAUAAAUCUUCAUUUUUGAACUGAUUCUUCCAUUUUCUUUCUUCCAACCAAUAAGUUCCCUUCCAUUUCCAUUUAUUUCCUUCUUUUUUUUUUAUUUGUAUUUCAAAUUAAUACAUAUUCAAUCUAAAAUUGAUAUUUUAAUCCAAAUUACUGACAGAAGGCAUACUAUGAUGACAAAACUAUCAACACCUAUAUCAAUGGAAUCUCUUGGUUCAAAAUUACCGUCAACUCUCUUCCUAGUUACGCGAACUAAUAGUAAAAGAUUCAUCUACGGAAUGACCAAGGAGAGUUGUUGAAAGGUUUAGUUUAUGUCGUUUUAGAGGCACAACAAUUCAAAGAAAUUAAAGGCACGUAAUAGAAACCCGUUCAAAGAAUUUAUAGGGAAGAUGCAAGCAAAAGCUACAACACUUUCCUCAGAACUUCAAAUGCAAUUUGAAGAAGUGUGUUUUUCUCACUAACAGUGUUAACUUGAGGGUAAGGGUGUGCUUUUUUCAAAAUUUGAAGGGGUGUACGUGUUGUUUAGUGAAACCUCAAGGGAGGUGAAUACAAUUUUCCCAUCUGUUAAAGAAUGAAACUUAUGACAUUUCUUAAAAAAACAAAUAAAGGAAUACAAUUUGAGAUCAAAUGAAAAUUGUGAGGACUAGCAAUGCAGUGCGACACCUUUGCUAAAGAGUGAGCGACAUGAUUUGUCUAUACAAAAUUGAAUCCUUUGAAUACAAAAUAAGGUCUUUUCACUUUUGUAAAACGAUGCCGAUUUGGUAUGAUUGCAGUGAAAACCAUCUACACAUGUGAAUCCCUACCAAAUUGCCAAUACUAAAACAGUCAUGAUCCCUAAAAAUUGCUGGAUGGACAUUAAACUGAAAUAGGAAAAUCAAUGUCACAAAUGGAUGAACACUAGUUCUAAGGAUUUUGAGUAGAAAACACAACAAAAGACUGCUGAAAUUUGCUUUAGUAAUGUGAUAAGACUACAAUGACAAGAUGUCUGAAGGUCUUCAAUAUCGUACACUAUCAAGUUGCUAUAGGACUCUGUGAUUCUCUGCAAUCGAAAAGGCUUUAAUUAAGGUGUGACAGAAGUCUGCGAGAAAAAAUGCAACUUAAAUAAUCAAGGUGAAAAACAACCAUGCCAAUAAUAGAGUAUUUGUAAAACCCAUAAAACAAAGAAAUGGUAAAGCAUACUGAAAUCAUUUUUCAUAAACAAGUAAAAUAUAUAAAACAAAAACCAGCCAAAGCACAAGAAGUGCAACCAUUGAAAACACAUUAACUUCCCUGUUUGAUGGUGAGGGUGAGCAGGAAAAUAUCAAAUGUAAACUACACAUUGUGCUUUGGUUAAAAGAGAUAUGAUCAGGACAUCAAUAUCUCCACAUGUUAAAAUAAAUAAAUUUUUAUCGUUAACUGUAUUCAUUUCAGAAUAAAGCAGAGGAAGAGGAAUAUUUAUGUUGGUGAAAGCAUGUAACGUCAUAUUUAUGGUGCAGUUAUUUGGGGAAAUUAAUACAGCUAAAACCAUAAACAUUAUUGAUGACAUCAAUAUCUCCACAAAUUAACGAGAAAAUAAAUGAACUUUUUAUCUUUUGCUGCGUUAAUUUUAGAACCACAGGAAGAGGAAAACAUGUGGGUGAAUGCGUGUGAUCUCAUCUUUAUGAAACCAUAACACUUAUGAAGCAUAUUUUUAGAAAAAUCUAGAGCAAUGACUCUAGAACAAAUUCCAGACUUGGCACUUAUUUGGGGAAAUUAAAACAACUAGCACAGUUAACAUUAAAAACACAAGCACCUCCAACAAAUUUGGCAAUUUUAUCAACAUGCAUAAACUCAUAAAAUAAAUUAUAUAUUUAAGCAAAAAAUAAUGUGCACAACCAUCAAAUGGUAGAAAAGGCAUCUGAGCUAGGUUGGUACCCCCAAACCACCACCACCUAUCACGUGCAACACCUAAAUAUAUUAAUAUAAAUACAAUGAAAAAAGAGCUUGGGGGAACUAUGCCAAAACCCAAGGAAACAAAGUAGCGGACCCUUAAUAUAAAUACAAUGAAGAAAGAGCUUAGGGAGACUAUGCCAAAACCCAAGGAAACAAAGUAGCUGACCCUUAAUAUAAAUACAAUGAAAAAAGAGCUUGGGGGACUAUGAGCCAAAACCCAAGGAAACAAAGUAGUGGACCUUUAGCAACUGCAUCGUUAAAAGCUUACCAUAAAACAAAUUACAAUAUAAUACAAUUUCUAGCAGUGACCACAACAUACAUUAGCACUCAAUCCAGUUACACAUGCAUAAAUAACAGUGAAUCACACAAACAAAGCUAUCAACCUUUCAAACAAACAUACUACAAAUAGUUGACCAAUAAACAUAAAACAAGACCUUAUUCAUUGUUGCAGCUCAAUAGUCAUAAUACAAGAUAAAUAUCAAGAAAAUGCAAGAAUAGCAUUCUUCACUAAAUCAUGAUGAUAAGCUAACCAAUGAAUAACCCCGUUAAAAAGUGACCCUACUCUGGGAUCAUCAUAGUCAUUCAUAUAAGGGAAGCGAGUACCCUCUAGUACUUUCCAGGUAUUAUCUCUUAAUGAGAAAAAUUCCAAACGCGAAUAACAAUGAACUAAGGUUGGAUCACAGGACACUGAAACCACUAAGUAAUCAUCUCUUAACUGAUCAUACCCAAAACCAUAUAGAUAAAAGCAAUCAUAUGCAUCUACAACAUCUGCAUUUAAUUCAAUAGGAGACAAAGGUAUUUGUUUAUGAACUCGGGUGGAUGGAUUCCAUAGGUAGAAACUUGAAUUAUGAUGCAAAAAUAUAAAGCCUCUACAGGAACUUACAAUUUUAACAAGACCAUCGGAUAAGGGAGUUAUAAAAUUAGGGUUGGGUCUUUCAAUAACAGUAUUAUUCCGAAUAGAUACUUCAAAAUCGAAAGAUAGUGUGUCACUGAGUGAACUUGUUAUGAACAUAAUUUUACGAGUGUGUGUUUAGGCGGUAAUUUGAAAAUGCGAAUUUGCAAAGUGAGGAUCAUGAGAGAUAAGAGCAAACCAAGACUUACAAACACAUUUGAAACGUAGAAGAGACUUCACCGAUAACCUCAGCAGAAUUUGAACUAUCAAUUCAAGAGCCAGAUAAGGUGGUGGAUUUGUCUUCUUCU